UGGGGAAUAUUGGACAAUGGGCGAAAGCCUGAUCCAGCCAUGCCGCGUGAGUGAUGAAGGCCUUAGGGUUGUAAAGCUCUUUCGCCGGUGAAGAUAAUGACGGUAACCGGAGAAGAAGCCCCGGCUAACUUCGUGCCAGCAGCCGCGGUAAUACGAAGGGGGCUAGCGUUGUUCGGAAUUACUGGGCGUAAAGCGCGCGUAGGCGGACGCUUAAGUCAGGGGUGAAAUCCCGGGGCUCAACCCCGGAACUGCCUUUGAUACUGGACGUCUCGAGUGCAGGAGAGGUGAGUGGAAUUGCGAGUGUAGAGGUGAAAUUCGUAGAUAUUCGCAAGAACACCAGUGGCGAAGGCGGCUCACUGGCCUGUAACUGACGCUGAUGCGCGAAAGCGUGGGGAGCAAACAGG
rnacentral:rRNA from 1 species